rnacentral:rRNA from 1 species
GAUGAACGCUAGCGGCAGGCCUAACACAUGCAAGUCGAGGGGUAACUAGAGUGAUAGCAAUAUUACUUUGGCUAGACCGGCGCACGGGUGCGUAACACGUAUGCAACCUACCUUAUACUGGGGAAUAACUUCGAGAAAUCGGCGCUAAUACCCCAUAACAUUGCGAAGAGGCAUCUCUUUGCAAUUAAAGCUCCGGCGGUAUAAGAUGGGCAUGCGUCCAAUUAGCUAGUUGGUGAGGUAACGGCUCACCAAGGCUACGAUUGGUAGGGGUUCUGAGAGGAUGAUCCCCCACACUGGUACUGAGACACGGACCAGACUCCUACGGGAGGCAGCAGUGAGGAAUAUUGCGCAAUGGACGAAAGUCUGACGCAGCCAUGCCGCGUGCAGGUUGACGGCCCUAUGGGUUGUAAACUGCUUUUGUACGGGAAUAAACCCUUCUACGUGUAGGAGGCUGAAGGUACCGUAAGAAUAAGCACCGGCUAACUCCGUGCCAGCCGCCGCUGUAAAAC